AACAAACGCUGGCGGCGUGCCUAAUACAUGCAAGUCGAACGGGGAAAGCUUUCGGGUGAGUACUAGUGGCGCACGGGUGAGUAACGCGUGGAUAAUCUGCCUUAGAGUGGGGGAUAACUAGUCGAAAGAUUAGCUAAUACCGCAUAAGACCACAAGAACUGCGGUUCAAGAGGUCAACGGUUUUUCGCUCUAAGAUGAGUCCGCGUAAGAUUAGCUAGUUGGUGAGGUAACGGCUCACCAAGGCAACGAUCUUUAACUGGUCUGAGAGGAUGAUCAGUCACACUGGAACUGAGACACGGUCCAGACUCCUACGGGAGGCAGCAGUAGGGAAUAUUGCACAAUGGAGGAAACUCUGAUGCAGCGACGCCGCGUGAGUGAUGAAGGCCUUCGGGUCGUAAAGCUCUGUCGCAGGGGAAUAACACAAUGAAUGUACCCUGUAAGAAAGGAUCGGCUAACUUCGUGCCAGCAGCCGCAGUAAAAC
rnacentral:rRNA from 1 species